GACGAACGCUGGCGGCGUGCUUAACACAUGCAAGUCGAACGGAAAGGCCCUGCUUUUGUGGGGUGCUCGAGUGGCGAACGGGUGAGUAACACGUGAGUAACCUGCCCUUGACUUUGGGAUCACUUCAGGAAACUGGGGCUAAUACCGGAUAGGAGCUCCUGCUGCAUGGUGUGGGUUGGAAAGUUUCGGCGGUUGGGGAUGGACUCGCGGCUUAUCAGCUUGUUGGUGGGGUAGUGGCUUACCAAGGCUUUGACGGGUAGCCGGCCUGAGAGGGUGACCGGCCACAUUGGGACUGAGGUACGGCCCAGACUGCUACGGGAGGCAGCAGUGGGGAAUAUUGCACAAUGGGCGGAAGCCUGAUGCAGCAACGCCGCGUGCGGGAUGACGGCCUUCGGGUUGUAAGCCGCUUUCGCCUGUGACGAAGCGUGAGUGACGGUAAUGGGUAAAGAAGCACCGGCUAACUACGUG
rnacentral:rRNA from 1 species